rnacentral:rRNA from 1 species
AAAUUUCUGCCCUAUCAACUUUCGAUGGUAGGAUAGUGGCCUACCAUGGUGGCAACGGGUAACGGGGAAUUAGGGUUCGAUUCCGGAGAGGGAGCCUGAGAAACGGCUACCACAUCCAAGGAAGGCAGCAGGCGCGCAAAUUACCCAAUCCCGACACGGGGAGGUAGUGACAAUAAAUACUGAUACGGGGCUCUUUUGGGUCUCGUAAUUGGAAUGAGUACAAUCUAAAUCCCUUAACGAGGAACAAUUGGAGGGCAAGUCUGGUGCCAGCAGCCGCGGUAAUUCCAGCUCCAAUAGCGUAUAUUAAAGUUGUUGCAGUUAAAAAGCUCGUAGUUGAACCUUGGGUCUGGCUGGCCGGUCCGCCUCACCGCGAGUACUGGUCCGGCUGGACCUUUCCUUCUGGGGAAUCCCAUGGCCUUCACUGGCUGUGGGUGGAACCAGGACUUUUACUGUGAAAAAAUUAGAGUGUUCAAAGCAGGCCUUUGCUCGAAUACAUUAGCAUGGAAUAAUAGAAUAGGACGUGCGGUUCUA